CUUCCCCUCUAUCCAGGCAGAGCCGCGAGGACCUCUCCGGAAGCGUGCCUUUGACUCCUUCGACCCGGAUCCCUACAUCUUUUGGAAGGAUCUGAAGAUGGGGAAGACUCCGGCUGCGCGCCUUGGCCGGGACCCGCCGGAGCCCACCGGAAAUCCGGAGGAGCUGGUUGUGCUCGAGGUCACCGCUGACACUCGGAAGGCCCUCUUCGAGGAGCUUUUAUGGGAGCACCGGGAGCUCGCUGAGGCACAUGACAAGUGCCAAGUGAUCCCGGAAGCUUCCAUCGAUGCUCUCAAGGAGCAGCUCGCCACGGCCCAACG